GUGCUUGCUUCCACGGCACACAGACUACAUUGGAAUGAUUCCUAGAUUAGCAUAGCCCCUGCACAGAGAUGACACACAAAUUCAUGAGUAUGUCAAGCUUCAA
rnacentral:snRNA from 1 species